UAGGGAAUCUUCGGCAAUGGGGGGAACCCUGACCGAGCAACGCCGCGUGAGUGAAGAAGGUUUUCGGAUCGUAAAGCUCUGUUGUUAAGGAAGAACGAGUGUGAGAAUGGAAAGUUCAUGCUGUGACGGUACCUAAUCAGAAAGCCACGGCUAACUACGUGCCAGCAGCCGCGGUAAUACGUAGGUCCCGAGCGUUGUCCGGAUUUAUUGGGCGUAAAGCGAGCGCAGGCGGUUAGAUAAGUCUGAAGUUAAAGGCAGUGGCUCAACCAUUGUAGGCUUUGGAAACUGUUUAACUUGAGUGCAGAAGGGGAGAGUGGAAUUCCAUGUGUAGCGGUGAAAUGCGUAGAUAUAUGGAGGAACACCGGUGGCGAAAGCGGCUCUCUGGUCUGUAACUGACGCUGAGGCUCGAAAGCGUGGGGAGCGAACAGG
rnacentral:rRNA from 1 species